rnacentral:rRNA from 1 species
UACGAAGGGGGCUAGCGUUGCUCGGAAUCACUGGGCGUAAAGCGCACGUAGGCGGCUUCUUAAGUCAGGGGUGAAAUCCUGGAGCUCAACUCCAGAACUGCCUUUGAUACUGAGGAGCUUGAGUCCGGGAGAGGUGAGUGGAACUGCGAGUGUAGAGGUGAAAUUCGUAGAUAUUCGCAAGAACACCAGUGGCGAAGGCGGCUCACUGGCCCGGUACUGACGCUGAGGUGCGAAAGCAUGGGGAGCGAACAGG